rnacentral:sRNA from 1 species
GGUUGACUAAGGAGGAAGACAUGGGAUUGACGCGAUCCAUCAACGUCCUAGUGGUCAGUGCAGCGUUCCUAUUCGUUGUAACGAUGCUUUUCAUCUGACGAAAUAGCGAACAGGGCAGGAAACCGAACUCCUGAAAGCUAACAAAACACCUAUUCCAUUUAAAAAGCGCAUGCCGAAAUCGACAUGCGCUUU